rnacentral:lncRNA from 1 species
GCAAUAUGCGUUACUCAAGGCUUACACAGUGACUGAAUGGGAAACGGAAGGGAAUACUUUUUGCUGCAACAAUGGUAUGGCGUGAGCCAACCAAUAAUGUCUCUGAUUGUUACUGUUGCAUGAUUAAUAUUAGUGGUUUCUCAAAGAAAACCAAAUCAAAAAUUGUGUAUGCAGAUUGUAAGUCGGCUCUAAAACCGGUCCCACAUUACUUCGAGAACCCUGUCCCAGUUCCCUUUUCACAUGCUUCACUUGAAAAUCUUGACACGUCGCAUGAUGAAUCCCCGGACUCUCUUAGCGACGAAGAGUAAGUAGGUGAUUCUAAGAAAAAUGAGCCAGGCAAGUUUAAUCAAGAAGGUUUGAACGAUUUAGUAAGAGGCCUAGCAUUGUCAAAGGAGGGGGCAGAAAUUUUGGGAUCCAAACUACAACAAAGGAAUCUCCUACAGCAAGGUACAAAAAUUUCCAUUUUCCGUUCUCGCCAUAAAGGCUUAUCUGUCUUUUUCGAGCAAGAUAAUAAUGAUUGUUUCUGUACAGACAUUAAUGCACUCAUGCAAAAAUUAGGACAGGUGCAUGUGGCUAACGAAUGGAGAUUGUUUAUAGACUCGAAUAAGGUUAGCCUCAAAACUGUGUUGUCACAUAAUGGUAAUGAAAAGCCUUCCAUUCCUGUGGGUCAUGUUGUCGAUGUGGAAGAAACUUAUGAACCGAUGGAACUCUUUCUGAAAGGUGUUAAUUACUCAGUUUACAGGUGGAAUAUUUGUGGUGUUUUAAAGGUGAUUUCCCUCCUCCUAGAACUGCAGUUUGGAUAUACCAAAAAUAUGUGCUUCUUGUGUUUUGGGAAACGCUGUCAAUAAUAAGAGCAAAACUAUGUAUGGUAAAGAGCAUUAAAGAACUAUAAAAAUAAGCAAGAAGCAGGGCUCAGUAGUCUACAGCAGCAAUUCUUAAACUUUUUUCAUUCAUGACCCCGGUUUUCAUCACAAAGCUCGUCCAUCCUUUUUUCUCUGAAUUUAUGUCGGUUGUGUACCUUUCUAUGGAAUAUUGGUGGCAUAUUUGGACGGAUGGCUCAGCUGCACUUCUUUUUCUCCCCAUUCAUCGAGUUCAAAAGCCCGUUUCCAAUAUUAUUGGUCCACGUUUAGUAACUAAAAGUAACUUCAACCCGUCUUUCAUGGCCGGAAUUUGCUUCUUCGUCUCUCUAUACUUCCAGUGCCUUCUAUGAAGGGUCUUUAGGAAAAGAUAAACCUUAAAGGCGAAGACGAGAAGACUCAAGAAAAAUAAAUGAUUAAUUUUAACGAUAAAAGAUGAUGAAUUGUAAUUUUCUGAGAUCUAAAACAAAAUAAAACAUUCAAACCACAUUAGAAUAAUUGUAUUUUCCGAGUAACAGUGACUGGCACCAAACAUUGGGUGAAAAUAGAAAUUAAAUUUGGACGGCUAUGUGAAAUUUCAAAGGCCUCGCGCGCACGCACACACACACACAUACACGUAAGUAAGUGCAUAAGGGUAUCAUGCGGUAUCACUAGUAAGUGCAUAAGGAGCUCAUCAUUAACCAAUAAAUCACGGACUUUGAUGAGAAUAGACAAAACAAUUUAUUCUUUUCUACUCUAGGCAGAAGGCCCGAAAUUCUUGGGGAGUGGUGGCAAUCGAUUAGAUCGAUCCCAGUACGCAACUGGUACUUAAUUUAUCGACCCCGAAAGGAUGAAAGGUAAAGUCGACCUCGGGGGAAUUUGAACUCAGAGCGUAAAAACAGACGAAAUACUACUAAGCAUUUCGCCCGGUGUGCUAAUGUUUCUGCCAGCUCGCCACCUUAAAUCAAGCAAAUUAUUAAUAAUAUGUGCGUGACUGGGGGUUAGAAAUUUGGCUUCGCAACCACCUGGUUUCGAGUUCAGUCCAGCAAUGCGGCAUAUUGGACAAGUUUUUUAAGCUUGAACUGCGAGCCGAUGAAAGCCUUGUGCAUGGAUUUGGUAAAUUUGGAAACUAUAUCGAAGCCUGCAGUGUAUGUAUAUAAAAAGGGUGGGUACAAGUAGGAAUGUUCUUUUCAUUUCUUUAUUUCUUUUUUUUAAGAUAAGAAUUCUAUGAUUCUUGUUUUUUAACAUUUUUCUAUAAUAAAAUAAUGAUUCCUAAUUUCAGAUAAUCCUUAUAUUACUGGAAAUUUGACCAAUGAUGAACGAAAGUGGAUCAUCAAGCAGUACCAGAAAACAGAGGAUGCAGAAGCGGUUAGACAGAAAUGGACUGAAGAAUUCCAAAGACCAGCUCCGUCAAGAUUAACAGAUUACAGAAUACGUGACAAAUUUGAAUAGAUUGGGUCCAUCUACAAAGCACAGAAAAGUGGUCGACCAGUCGAUGUUACUUCUGAAGAGAAUGAAAUGAAAGUAGUUCAAGCAUUCAUUCAAAGUCCCCAGAAAUCAAAACAAAAAGGAGGGCUUCCAAUGAACCAGGCAUCUCCCGCAGACCCUAAGUCGACUUAUGAAUUGUUUAGAUUUAAAACAGAAAUAGAGAAAUGGAAAGAAUAUUCCAUUCAUAUUAAGCAACUGUAUACCUCCUGUUUU